GCGGCGCCCCCGGGCUCUCCGGAGCGGGCCCCGGGUUUUCAGCCGCCACGUCUCGGCUCCUGCGCGCUCCUGCGCGGGGCAGCGGCUGCUGCUGCCCCCGCGCUGCCGGCUUGGACACCGGGCUGCCUGGAGAUGCUGCGGCACAGCGUACGAGCUCCGUUCCUCGGACGCGGGCGCUGCGGGCCGGGUCGCCGACCUAAAGCGCAGGAGUAGCCCUCGGAACAAGAAGAGUGUGGAGAAAAGAUAUGGAAACACCUGAUAUCCCAACAAAGGAAGCCGCAAAGGCAGGCUCGUGAUGGAUAAAUGAGGCAGGCCAUUCAACAGUUGACAAUCAUUGUUUUGUUCUAACACCCAUGUGCACCCGGCAAAUGAAUUACGGAUUACCGGCUUUCUGCCCAGGUGAUAAGUGUGGGUACAGACACAUUUUGAGAGCUACAGAUGCCGCGACAGGAAGACCUUGCCCAAGUGACCUUAAAUAAACUUGAACCGCAAAUGGGAGGCACAGAAUGAAAACUCACUAGCGUGGCUCUUGAGGAAAGGACGGACUUAGACACGAGAUUCUAAAGCUUGGCUACAGCUUGUCUCGGAUUUGUUGUUUCUCAGGAACAACAGUGAUAUGAAGGAAUGAAGAGUGAUAAAGUGGGUAAACACUGACUCACGCACAAAAAAGGGCAUGCCUUGGUCGGUUAAGAUGGACCUUGCUAACUCGAUUCUGCAGAGAAGGGACUAUAAAUAACACACGGUCGCAGCUACAGGCCUUUCCUGUCCAUUAAUUAAACCAACACCGCAGAGGCCUCAAGGCUAAGGCACCGAGCUCUUCUUAGCAGUGGAGAGCUGCAUAAUCCUGGAGUGAUUACGGUUCAAAAGGUCAGGAGAGAGGGCACCCAGAGUGUGCUCCAACCCUCUCUGCAGCAGAGGAGAGAGAAGGGCGAAAAGGGGGUCAGCAUGUGAGCUAAAAAAAAAAAAAAGAAAGUUGUGGACACAGAAGUGAAAUCUGAUCACGCGCCAGGAAAAGCUCGUGAAGCGAGAAACCCCCGAGGAACGACCAACCUUGACCGGCCCUGGUCGGGGCGGUUCCAUACGGCUGCCCGCGCGGGAAGGGGGCGCCGGGGGCGGCCACCGCCGGCAUGG
rnacentral:lncRNA from 1 species